GACGAACGCUGGCGGCGUGCUUAACACAUGCAAGUCGAACGGAAAGGCCCAAGCUUGCUUGGGUACUCGAGUGGCGAACGGGUGAGUAACACGUGAGUGACCUGCCCUUGACUUUGGGAUAAGCCUAGGAAACUGGGGCUAAUACCGGAUAGGAGCACCUCCUGCAUGGUGUGGGGUGAAGAUUUUUGGGUGUUGGGUAAGGUCUCGCGGCUUAUGCGCUUUUUGGUGGGGUAGUGGCUUACCAAGGUUGUGGCGGGGAGCCGCCCGGAGAGGGUGACCGGCCACAUUGGGACUGGGAUACGGCCAGGACUCCUACGGGGGGCAGAGGUGGGGAUUAUGCCCCAUUGGGGGGAGGCUGAUGGCGCCACCGCGGGUGGCGGGUUGCCGGCUUUCGGGUGGAAACCCGUUUCCGCAUGGGAGGAACCGUGAGUGACGGUAACGGGUGAAGAAGCACCGGCUAACUACGUG
rnacentral:rRNA from 1 species